GAGUUUGAUCGUGGCUCAGAUUGAACGCUGGCGGCAGGCCUAACACAUGCAAGUCGAGCGGUAGAGAGAAGCUUGCUUCUCUUGAGAGCGGCGGACGGGUGAGUAAUGCCUAGGAAUCUGCCUGGUAGUGGGGGAUAACGCUCGGAAACGGACGCUAAUACCGCAUACGUCCUACGGGAGAAAGCAGGGGACCUUCGGGCCUUGCGCUAUCGGAUGAGCCUAGGUCGGAUUAGCUAGUUGGUGAGGUAAUGGCUCACCAAGGCGACGAUCCGUAACUGGUCUGAGAGGAUGAUCAGUCACACUGGAACUGAGACACGGUCCAGACUCCUACGGGAGGCAGCAGUGGGGAAUAUUGGACAAUGGGCGAAAGCCUGAUCCAGCCAUGCCGCGUGUGUGAAGAAGGUCUUCGGAUUGUAAAGCACUUUAAGUUGGGAGGAAGGGCAGUAAAUUAAUACUUUGCUGUUUUGACGUUACCGUACAGAAUAAGCACCGGCUAACUCUGUGCCAGCCGCCG
rnacentral:rRNA from 1 species